rnacentral:rRNA from 1 species
UGGGGAAUAUUGCACAAUGGGGGAAACCCUGAUGCAGCGACGCCGCGUGAACGAAGAAGGUAUUCGUAUCGUAAAGUUCUGUCCUAUGGGAAGAUAAUGACAGUACCAUAGAAGAAAGCUCCGGCUAAAUACGUGCCAGCAGCCGCGGUAAUACGUAUGGAGCGAGCGUUGUCCGGAAUUAUUGGGCGUAAAGGGUACGGAGGCGGUUUAAUAAGUCGAAUGUUAAAGAUCGGGGCUCAACCCCGCAAAGCAUUGGAAACUGAUAAACUUGAGUAGUGGAGAGGAAAGUGGAAUUCCUAGUGUAGUGGUGAAAUACGUAGAUAUUAGGAGGAAUACCAGUAGCGAAGGCGACUUUCUGGACACAAACUGACGCUGAGGUACGAAAGCGUGGGGAGCAAACAGG